rfam:Erinaceus europaeus unplaced genomic scaffold scaffold00854, whole genome shotgun sequence
UUGCUUUGGCAGCACAUAUACUAAAAUUGGAAUGAUACAGAUAAUAUUUAGCAUGGCCCCUGUGCAAGGAAAGUAAAAUGUGGAUAAUUAGAAUGGAACCUU